rnacentral:lncRNA from 1 species
CUGUAACUAAGGAGAAUUGAUUUUUUAAAGUAUGUGUGACAUUUAAAAAUACUUAACUCAUUUUACAUAUAAAAGAAUGAAGGUAUUAGGAAUAGUUUAUCAGUUUCCCAGAAAACAAACUAAAGGGGUGUUGAGCUGCAAGCUGUUUAUUAUGGAGCAUACUCAGAUUGACACCUGUGGAAAGGAGGGAAGGAAAGCCGUGAUGGACUGACAAGAAACACAAGCUGCAGGCAGACCUAACACAUCUCAGCUGACCCUUCAGGUGAUUUUGAAGCUUGAAUGCUUUUCAGAGUUGCCCUGAGUUGAGUCAAGAUGGCCAGACCUUUAUUUCCCUACAUCUAUCAGUCAUUUCAUAAGGUGGGCCACUCAGGAGUAGGAAAGUGACCUUAAGGAAAGGUGAGCGUAGGCGGCAGUGUUCUGCAUCUGUGGUGGUCCCUGAAGAAAGUUGUGAAGACUAUUUGUUGACAUAUGUCCAGCAUCUGGAGGUUCAAGCCCUUCACUGAGGACUAUUUCAAUGUUACAGCACUGGUGACAGAAUGGUGACUUCAAGAUAAGAAGGGAAGCAACAUAUUGAUUUUACAUUUUACAGAAGAUCUCUUUUCCAUUCCAGAUGGCAUUCUUUCACAGGCCCUGGCACACUGGAUCCAAAUUCUGUGCACCUCAGCCUGAGAAGGGUCUGCAGAAUGUUACCCACCAUGUUUCUGGAGUUUUUAUGAAAUCAAUUGUAUAAGAAUGAAGUGUAACAUAAAACUAGAUUCUUAGUGAACAAAAUGAGAGAUGAGAAUUCUGCUGAAACUGAGCUUUGAAAAGAGAUGUAUGUGGAACUCAGUCCAUCCUUUGAACAUGCCAUGAAGCUUAGUAGUCUCCUGAAAUCUACACUUUAUCUCAUGAUUACAUGAGCCAAAUUUCUCACCUGAAAAUUUGAGAGAAAAUUUGCGUUACCCUUAUGUUAAAGUAGAUCUUAAUGAUUUUUCAGGAAAGAAAUUCUUUUGAUAAUUUGAAUUUCAGUUAAAGUUUAAGCCUAUUGAGAUGAAUUGAUCACAGAGUGGCAUAGAACUUUUGAUUUGAUCUAGGUUGCUUAAUUUGUAUACAAAUACAACAUCUGUUUGUCCAUUCAAACUAUGUCUAUAUUCUUUAAGAACAGGCACUCCAAUGUCCUUAUAGGCUGGAAGGAAAUAUCAGUAACUAGAAAUGAUAGUUCCUUAUGAGCAUUCUACAAAUUUGGAGGGUAAGAGGACUCAAAAUUACAAGCAGAAGUAUGAAUUUUCUGUAUCUAAAGACAAAACUCUCCUUUAUACAGCAGAGUAUAUUUUUUCCCAGAAGGCUGAAAAUAUUUUUGGCUAUUUAGAUAUAAAUAAAUUCUAUUCAUAGAGAUUUCAUUCUGGCUUAUGUAUUGAAACAGAUAUAAUUCAAAGAGAUUGUUCCAUCCCAUCUCUUCCCCAACAAGUUUCUAUUUUAUCCUCUCUGUAGCUUUCAAGUUAUGAAAUUUCAAUCCCCUAGAAUCGCUUUAGGCCUCGUGGCUGUUUUUUCAACCUUAUAACCAGCACAGAGUGCCUGGCACAUAAUUAUUGCUCAACAAAUAAUGGAUGAAAUCAAUGAGUUAGAAAAGACUCUUUCCUCUACUCAUGUACCAGAAGUAGAGGUAUUGACUUACUUUCCCCUGAAAAUGUCCCAGAAAAUAGAAUUUAAAAUGUUUAACAAUUGGUCUAAUAUAUAUGGGUCUGCUAGUAAGCUGCCAGGUAGGGACAACAUACAUGAUUUUCUUACAUGUAUGAUGUACAUUUCUUACAUUUUCCAUUUUAUGUGUAGUUAAAAACUGUGACAUUUAAGUAGAUCAAAUAAAG